CAUUACUGAGAUAGGGUCUUUCGGGGCCCGACCCUCCCACCCUUUGUGUAUGUACCUUUGUUGCUUCGGCGGAAUCCCUGGUCGCGGAGUAGUUUUGCCACUCCCCAACCACGGCCCGCCAGAGGCCCCAUUCAUUCUGAAUUAUCCGAGUCGUCUGAGUAAACAUGCAAAUAAACUAAAACUUUCAACAACGGAUCUCUUGGUUCUGGCAUCGAUGAAGAACGCAGCGAAAUGCGAUAAGUAAUGUGAAUUGCAGAAUUCAGUGAAUCAUCGAAUCUUUGAACGCACAUUGCGCCCUCUGGUAUUCCGGGGGGCAUGCCUGUUCGAGCGUCAUUGCAUCUCUCAAGCUCGGCUUGGUAUUGGGCUUCAUCCCCCGUGGACGGGCCUGAAAAUCAGUGGCGGUGCAGCCGGUGCUCAAGCGUAGUAACAUUACAUCCCGCUUUGGAGUCACCGGGUGGACCCGCCAGACAACCCAUAUUUUUCAAUGGUUGACCUCGGAUCAGGUAGGGAUACCCGCUGAACUUAAGCAUAUCAAUAAGCGGAGGAA
rnacentral:rRNA from 1 species